UUUUAAAUGAUGAUUUUCUGUGCUGAUAGUUUCAUUGGUCUCGUUUUGAGACGAAAGAAGCUUCUUUUUAGGAUGACUUCCGAGGCAUUUGUCUGAUAGAAAA